rnacentral:lncRNA from 1 species
AAAAGCCUGAAGAAGAGAGAGUGAAGGGAGUUAGUUAGGGAGAGGGGAAAGAAGCUCAUAGAUCCGGAGGCCUGCAUUUUUCUGGAGCCGUCUGGGAGAAAAGGGGAAGAUGUGGACAGGGAGGGCAGAUCUAUCAUAUCUUAAGGCCUCAGGGAACUUGAUUGGGCAUUUCAUCCAUUCUUAAGCGCAAGAUAAAAUCCUUAAUGCCACAAAUAAAUAACUAUACAUGAGUGUGGACAGGCGAAGACUCCACCAGCACCCUUAAUAAUAGGGAGCAACAUCUCCCCGCAAAUUACCACAGGAGGUUCCUAGAGGAUAGUGCAGUGGUUUAAGCCUGGCCACAGCUGGUACCCACAGGAAAUAUUCAGAGCCUCAAUUUAGCUAUUAAAGACAUUAAAUCUCUUUUAGCCUGGGGGAAAACAACUCUCACCCUUAAAGCUGGAUUUGGGCUUCUAACUCCUGGAUUCAUCUGGGUGAAGCCUAGUGAGGAUGAGACAGAGGUUUUUCCUUUAAUGAUGGAGUUAACUAGGAUGAACCAGGGAGCGUUAUGGUCCUAAAGUCAAGGAAUGGGCUUUCAGAUGGAAAGGACUUGCCUUGUCUUCAAUGAGACUUUGGACUGUGGACUUUUGAGUUAAUGCAAAAAUGAGUUAAGUCUUUGGGGGACUGUUGGAAAGGCAUGAUUGGUUUUGAAAUGUGAAGACAUGAAAUUUUGGAGGGGCCGGGGUAGAAUGAUAUGAUUUGGCUGUGUCCCCACCCAAAUCUCGUCUUGAAUUCCCACGUGUUGUGGGAAGGAUCCAGUGGAAGGUAAUUGAGUCAUGGGGGCAGGUUUUCCCCAUGCUGUUCUCAUUGAUAUUGAGUCUCAGUAGAUCCGAUGGUUUUAAAAAUGGGAGUUUCCCUGCCCAAGCCCUCUUCUCUUAUCUGCUUCCAUGUGAGACAUGCCUUUCACCUUCCCUCAUGAUUGUGAGGUCUUCCCACACACGUGGAACUGUAAGUCCAUUAAAUCUCUUUCUUUUGUAAAUUGCCCAGUCUCAGGUAUGUAUUUAUCAGCAGUGUGAAAACAACUAAUACACUACCUCAUAAGGUGGUGCAAUGAUAAAAUGAUAUAUGAAAACACUUUUAAUAGCAUUUGACACAUGGUAAGUGUUCUGUAAGGAUUAGCUACAAUUUUUACUGUUAAUAAUUAGUUUCUUCUCACUGGCUUCUACCUCCCUCAAUUGAUGAGUGCUUAGGAGAGAUGGCAUGACUAGAGCACAGGCCUAAUGGAGCAGACCACCCAAAGCUACCAUGCAUGCAAGGAAACUGAACUUAAUAGAGCUUUGACUUUAAUCUGAGAAUGCUCAGUGUAGUGCUCUGUUUGGUCCUUCCAGAACACUGAAUGCACCUUGAGGAUGGUAUUUGGUUUUCAUAAUCUCUUUAUCCUAUUAUUUUUGCAGUGGUAUAAAUUAAGUCUGCAUUCUCAGGAAAUUCUCACUGCCCUCCAUCAGAUAUUUGUCAGAACUUAAGAGAGUCCUGAUUGAAGCCUUUUAAAUUCAACUUAAAGUUUGCUCCUAAGACUGGGCAAGUGUUCCUGGGGCUGAGUGUAUAAGGGGAGAGUUGGUGGAAGCCAGUGUGGUAAUCUUUUCAUGAAAGAGUCAUAUCAGCUUAUAUAUAUAUUCCAGUGAUUGGUGAUGUAGGGGGUGGCUAUCAGAUCCUUUCCUGAAAAUAAAUUUGGCUAUGAGUGGGGAAUAGGAUUUUAAAGAUAGCAUAUUUUAAUUAUGUUUUAAAAUCAAUUUCGCAUUCACAAGUUACAUAUGAAUAGAUUAUACUUGUGUAAAAAAAAAAACAAUUUCCCUCAAUAACUACCUGAUCUCAAUGUAUUUCAUGCCAGUUCUGAGAUUUCCUGAGAUAAAGACCCACUGUUCUCAGUUCGUGUGUGUGUAUAUGUGUAUCUGUAAAUUAUAUGUAUUAUUUGAUGCAUGUGUAUACAUUAAAAAAAUAAGUAUAUCAUAUUGAACCUAUAGUUCUAUAAUGGUUUUAUAUUUCCCCCUAAGCAUGUUAGUAUAUGUGGUAUAUUUUUGUUAGUAUAGAUAAAUGGCAUAUCUUACUUUGGCUAAACCACUGGUCACUUAAUGUAUUGAUAAUAAACUUUUUCAUUAUUAAAAACAAUGCUGCAAUUAAUAUCUCUGAUACAUAAUAGCUCCCUGGGCACAUUAUGUUAGAAAGUCAGACACAGAGAAG